GUCAGCUUCAGUCUUUACUUUUCCUUCUUGACAAGGUCCACAUGGUAUAGGUUUACUGGAUGACAUGACCCUAAACAUAUACAACAUAUAACUUAUUUAGCCUUCUGGUCAGGGUCCAUAUGGUACAGGUUUACUGGAUGCCAUGGCCCUAAACAUAUACAAGAUAUAAGUUAUUUUGCCUUAUGGGCAGGUCCACAUGGUACAGGUUUACUGGAUGCCAUGACCCUAAACAUAUACAAGAUAUACGUUAUUUAGCCUUAUGGGUAGGUCCACAUGUUAUAGGUUUACUGGAUGCCA